rnacentral:misc_RNA from 1 species
GGAAACUGCAGUUAAAUUUGAACGCCCACACUUAUCGGUUGUUGGAAGGAUGUCGCCGGCGACGUUGGAUCAUGUGUCCGUGUCACUAGUGACCGGCUUGGGUCUGUAGCUCAGUUGGUUAGAGCACCGUCUUGAUAAGGCGGGGGUCGUUGGUUCGAUUCCAACCAGACCCACCAUCGCCUCCAGGAUCGUAGAGUUUCGUUGGGGGAUUAGCUCAGCUGGGAGAGCACCUGCUUUGCAAGCAGGGGGUCGUCGGUUCGAUCCCGUCAUCCUCCACCAAUGAUUGUCAGGUGGUAGUUGUGUGUUGUUUGGUAAAUAGGUGGUUAGGCGAGUAGUGGGCUGGGUGAGUAGUUCAACACCAAAGUGGCUUUGUAAGAGGCCUCUUUGUUGUUGAUCGAUAUUGUUCGAUCAAUCGGCUGUUCUUUAAAAAUUCAUAGAGUCGAAUCAGCGUUGCUGGUGGAAAGAGGGUCAUA